ACUGGCUGUGCGCGAAUCAACUCCCUUACUUCCAUUCGGGGCAGCGGGUUCUGCCUUGCGCUGAUUUCUGUUCACGGGUAGAAGAAAAGUGCCCAUUUUUUCGUCCAAUCAAUGAUGAUACGCAUGUCGGGGACCCCAGUUUCAUAUGCAAAGCUUCAGCCAUGUCGUCUGUGAAAAAUGAAAUGUGUUACAGACAACCUCCCGCGUGUUACAAACUGUGCAGCAUACAGAUGGACACACGCACGGACAACUGCCACAGUAUAAAUCUCACACAUUGUCACGUGAACCACACUUCUGACGUCACUGGCAGGACAAACUCAACUUCCACGGCUCAGAGGUUACGCGCUCACCGAGUAUUCUUCUUCGUCGAUUUAGUCACGUGUUCACUCGUCGUGUGGGUGGUGCGAACUAUAUUACAAUACACAGCGAUUGGCUGGACAUAGUGUCAGCCGUGUGGACCAUAGUUCUAUUUAUAUUAUGCUGUCUCUUGUGAUAUAUACUGUUUCCAUUGUGCAUGUCAUAGUGAUACGUGUAUGUGUUUAAAAAAAAGGGGAGGUAAUUCGCCAGGUAAAAGAACACGAAGAAGAGGAGAAGAGGAUUCGCCACGCGUGUAUAUCCAUAUACAGGGGAGAUAAUUCGCCACAAGUGUAUGUACAAAUGGGAGAUAAUUCGCCACAAGUAUGUGUACAAAGCGGAGAUAAUUCGCCACGCACGUAUGUACAAAGCGGAGAUAAUUCGCCAUGAGCAUGUGUACAAAGCGGAGAUAAGUCGCCACAAGUGUAAUGUACAACGGGGAGAUAAUUCGCCACGUGUACUGUGACCCCCAUGCACCGCGUUUAUACAUAAAUAUGCGUGAAGAGAUGGAUGGAUAUAUAUAUAUAUAUAUAUAUAUAUAUAUAUAUAUAUAUAAUUAUAUAUUGUGUUGUCGCCAGCAGAGUUACUGCAGAGCGGAUAACGGAUCUGGAAACACGGAUAUAUAAUUUCCAAGGAAUUCCUAUUUUGUGUUAAACCGUGUAAAUAUUACUGAGGCAAAGAUAUGCCUUUAUUCUAGGAACCUCUUCCAAGUGUGUCCUUCUACCAAAGAGAAGGGGAGACAACCUGCUUGUUUUAUUCCAAAACAAGGCGGAUUACCUGCAGUAUUUUAAAUUUUAUCUGUGCUGGGAGGUGAUAUAUUUGAUUUAUUCUCAACGCAGGGGAGAUAAACUACGUGUUUCGUACUCCGUGUAAGGGGGACAACCCAGAUGAUUUCUUGUUCUGUUUUUGUUUUUGUUUUUUAAAUAAUAAAUCACAGCAGGGGA